AAUGAACGCUGGCGGUAGGCCUAACACAUGCAAGUCGAACGGCAACACAGUAAGUGCUUGCUCUUACGGGUGUCGAGUGGCGGACUGUUGAGUAAUACAUCGGAAUCUACUGGUUCGUGGGGGGUAACGUAGGGUAAGUUCCGCUAAUACCGCAUACAUCGGACGGGUGAAAGCAGGCGUUCUUCUAGCCUUUCGCUAUUGUAUUAGCUGAUGUCGGAUUCGCUAGUUGGCUGGGUAAAGGCCCACCACGGCGACGCUCCGUAGCUGGUCUGAGAGGAUGGUCAGACACACUGGAACUGAGAAACGGCACAGACUCCUGCGGGAGGACGCAGUGGAGAAUCUUGCGGAAUGGGCGAAAGCCUGAUCCUGCAAUACCGCGUGAGUGAAGAAGGAGUUAGGCUUGUAAAGCGAUGUUGUUCGGAAAGAAAAAAAGCACGUUCAUCUGCGGAUGUUAUGACGGUACCAACAGAAUAAGCCCCGGCUAACUUCGUG
rnacentral:rRNA from 1 species